rnacentral:rRNA from 1 species
CCUACGGGGGGCAGCAGUCGAGAAUUAUUCACAAUGGGGGAAACCCUGAUGGUGCGACGCCGCGUGGGGGAAUGAAGGUCUUCGGAUUGUAAACCCCUGUCAUGUGGGAGCAAAUUAAAAAGAUAGUACCACAAGAGGAAGAGACGGCUAACUCUGUGCCAGCAGCCGCGGUAAUACAGAGGUCUCAAGCGUUGUUCGGAAUCACUGGGCGUAAGGCGUGCGUAGGCUGUUUCGUAAGUCGUGUGUGAAAGGCGCGGGCUCAACCCGCGGACGGCACAUGAUACUGCGAGACUAGAGUAAUGGAGGGGGAACCGGAAUUCUCGGUGUAGCAGUGAAAUGCGUAGAUAUCGAGAGGAACACUCGUGGCGAAGGCGGGUUCCUGGACAUUAACUGACGCUGAGGCACGAAGGCCAGGGGAGCGAAAGGGAUUAGAUACCCCAGUAGUC